rnacentral:rRNA from 1 species
UUAUACAGCGAAACUGCGAAUGGCUCAUUAUAUAAGUUAUCGUUUAUUUGAUAGCACCUUACUACUUGGAUAACCGUGGUAAUUCUAGAGCUAAUACAUGCUAAAAAUCCCGACUUCGGAAGGGAUGUAUUUAUUAGAUUAAAAACCAAUGCCUUCGGGCUUUCUGGUGAUUCAUGAUAACUUCUCGAAUCGCAUGGCCUUGCGCCGGCGAUGGUUCAUUCAAAUUUCUUCCCUAUCAACUUUCGAUGCGAAGGUCUUGUCUUCGCAUGGUUACAACGGGUAACGGAGGGUUAGGGCUCGACCCCGGAGAGGGAGCCUGAGAAAUGGCUACCACUUUUAAGGAAGGCAGCAGGCGCGCAAAUUACCCAAUCCCGACACGGGGAGGUAGUGACAAUAAAUACUGAUACAGGGCCUUUAAUGGGUCUUGUAAUCGGAAUGAGUACAAUUUAAAUCCCUUAACGAGGAACAAUUGGAGGGCAAGUCUGGUGCCAGCAGCCGCGGUAAUUCCAGCUCCAAUAGCGUAUAUUAAAGUUGUUGUGGUUAAAAAGCUCGUAGUUGAACCUUGGGCCUGGCUGGCCGGUCCCCCUCACCGGGUGCACUGGUCCGGCCGGGUCUUUCCCUCUAUGGAACCUCAUGUUCUUUAUUGAAUGUGUUGGGGAAAUAGGACUUUUACUUUGAAAAAAUUAGAGUGCUCCAGGCAGGCCUAUGCUCGAAUAGUACAGCAUGGAAUAAUAGAAUAGGACGUGUGGUUCUAUUUUGUUGGUUUCUAGGACCGCCGUAAUGAUUAAUAGGGACAGUCGGGGGCAUCAGUAUUCAGCUGUCAGAGGUGAAA